CUUUGGAGACGGGGCAGCUGAUUGUAGAUGCAAUAUUUGAACCUCAAACUACACGAACUCAGCUUUAGAUUCUAUGUCAUCUGCAUUGGCUGAUCACUUGAUUCCCACCAUUAAAACCUAGCCAAAAAUAUACAUACAAGAGAUGUAAAGAAAGGGUUUCCACAACUUACCUUGUAGCGUUAAAAUUCAUCAAAAUAUAUGCAGAGAAAUCAAUGAGAGAAUAUUCGUUGAUGGGUUUUUUCUUGAAUUAAGAAACCAAGAAAACAUUUUGGAAAUUUUGAUUAGCCAACAGAUACGCGUAGGCAACGUGUGCUUUGCGUGUUAGGUAAUCUCAUUUUACAUAUAUACCUACAUAUAUCAUCAAUC
rnacentral:lncRNA from 1 species